UUUUUCCUACGGGAGGCAGCAGUGGGGAAUUUUGGACAAUGGGCGCAAGCCUGAUCCAGCUAUUCCGCGUGUGGGAUGACGGCCCUCGGGUUGUAAACCACUUUAGUAGAGAACGAAAAGGAGCUAUCGAAUAAAUAGCUCUGCUGACGGUACUCUAAGAAUAAGCACCGGCUAACUACGUGCCAGCAGCCGUGGUAAUACGUAGGGAGCAAGCGUUAUCCGGAUUUAUUGGGUGUAAAGGGUGCGUAGACGGGAAAACAAGUUAGUUGUGAAAUCCCUCGGCUUAACUGAGGAACUGCAACUAA
rnacentral:rRNA from 1 species